CUUGGAAUUGAGGUGAAGAAACACAAGGAUGGACUUCAUCUCUCUCAACAGAAGUAUGCAACAGACUUGGUAAGAAAGGCAGGCCUGCAAAGUUGUAAACCCUCCUUCACUCCAUUAUCCAGCUCAGAAAAGCUAUCUCUCACAGAAGGGCAACUUUUGAAUCAAGAGGAUAGUACAAAGUACCGGAGUUUGGUAGGUGCAUUACAGUACUUGACUCUAACAAGGCCUGAUAUUUCUUUUGCUGUCAACAAGGUAUGUCAGUUUCUGCAUGCACCUACCACUGUGCAUUGGACUGCUGCAAAGCGCAUUAUCAGAUAUGUCAAACAUACUUUGAGCAUUGGUCUUAGUUUCAGCAAGUCAUCCUCCACUCUUGUUAGUGCUUUCUCUGAUUCUGACUGGGCAGGCUGCCUGGAUGACAGGCGCUCCACUGGUGGAUUUGCAAUAUUUUUUGGACCAAACUUGAUUUCAUGGUGUGCAAGAAAA
rnacentral:rRNA from 1 species